GGAUGUAAGGGUGAUCUGGCUGUGACAAGUCACCCCACUGAUCGCCAGGGUUGAUUCAGCUGACUUGGCUGGCUAGGUGGGUGUCCCCUCCUUCCUCACCGCUCCACGCUUGUCCCUCCCAAAGCUCCGUGUUAGAUCGAAAAGGAUGACCACCCCAGAUAGAGAAGGAAGGACCCUUUCCAUGGUCAAGGUCAAAUGAGCAGCUGUGCUCCCCUGCUAACACCCCAAACAAGCUCUCAAAACAAAAAAGCCUGCCUUCACUUUUUUGCACCAAGAAAGAUAAUCAACUUUACAUAAUACAAAAUUAAGUGCUUCCUGUUU
ensembl:misc_RNA 7SK 7SK RNA